AGGAGAAGAAUCUUCUUCAGAUAUUUGGGUGGAGUUUGGUGCUUACAGAAGGCAGGCUCCGCCUUGUUCUCCAUUCGCCUUCACCUCCGUCAUGCUUAAGAUUCUGGACACUCACAGUUGCUGAUAACGAUGAAACAUGUGAUAACAAUAAAACCUAUACCAGGGUCUGUUUCUUCAAGAAAGCAAAUCAGAAAAGGAGAAAGACACAUGAAUAUAUUCUAGUGCAUUUCCUGUGACUCAGUAGCCCACAGGGCUCCUUCCAAGGAACUGCUUUUUUCCUGCCAGCUA
rnacentral:lncRNA from 1 species